UCCCUUGUGGCUCAGCUGGUAAAGCAUCUGCCUUGCAAUGCAGGAGACCUGGGUUCAAUCCCUGGUUCAGGAA
rnacentral:tRNA from 1 species